UAGUCUGAAAGUCACACAAACUCACAGAAAAACUUUUAAAAAAAUUCUUUAUCCCACUAUCAAAUUCAUCCUUAGUGACCAGACCACAGGAAGCUCCCAUUCUCACUCUCAGGUAGCUCCAGCCUAGCACCUGUUUGAAGCGGGCUUCACAUUUUCAACAUGUUAUUGUUAAGUUUUGUUACAGAAAACAAAACAUUCAGCCCUUCAAACAAAAAACAAUGCGAAUACUGGCCUUGGGCAAAUCCCAAACCAACAGUGCCUGCCUUCCUGGAAGAAUGGACAUUGUUAUACAACAGGUGUGCUAGCAAGCAGAUGGGAAGGGGUUUGCAGUGCACGCACCACAGCUGUGCCCUGUACAGAACAUACAGGUUCAACAGCCAGACCAGGAACUGCGUUCCUCACUGUUCGGCACAUGAUGUUCCCUCUAACCUGUGCUGCCCUGGAAAUUUUAAUUACUCCUGCUGCAGCUCUCCAUGGCAGUCACACCUUCAAACUUACCGAGAUUCACUGCUGCAAUGCAUGCUGCCCUGGGGAAGCUCCUGUGCGGAAGCUUCAGCAAACUCUGAGUGCAGAAAUGCAUCUGCAGCACUGAACACAACCAACACUACAUGCUCCAUCUAUUUCCUGCCAUGAUCAGCUUUGCUCAUUGCCUAAAAUACUCCCACACACACAGCAGUUGUACCAAGCAUCUCCCACAUGUCAGUGGGCACAACUUAACCUUACCUGUCUUCCUACACACAGGAACACUAGACUCCUCAGGAAAAGCAUCAAGGCAACUUCUAAAAGAUAGGACUACUAAAGCUACAAGACAAGAAUUUAAACAGAAGUACCAGAAGACAUUUCUCAUUACCUACACCAUCUCUUUCGUUUGGUUUCUCAUAACAAUUUUUAGGAUACAAGCAUACUAGGAACAAACUUGCCCCCCAACUGUUAGGCAUAUGAAGUCCAAACUAUAAGGUGUGGCAGUUCUUGAUUUCAGAGUGGAUGGAUCACUUUUCCUAUAAAUAAAAUAUAGAGGGUCUGUCAUGUGCCUGCAUCUAACCAAGUGUGCCUUACUUCAUACUUUGCUCCUCUCAAAACUGAUAUCCUCCUGUAUGGGACUGUUCAGGCCUCUACAUUUCAGCAUCUUUUCCUAAAUUAUUCCAUGGUUACAGUGCUUUUAAAGUGAGUGACAGAGGUUAAAUAGGGGCAUCUUCUAUCACACUACUUCUCCCAUUUUACUCUUAUCUUAGUUAUCCAACAGAUGGACGCUCUUCACGUGUCUUGUCAAAAGCAGAAUUACAAGUAAAAGUCAAGAGCAGAAGAGAAGCACACAGGCCUUGCCAAAGGGGAUACAGUAGUCUCAAAACAUCUCCAAACAUACCUCACCUAAGAGAAGUCAUCACCCCAGAGGAGCUACCCCAGGAACACUACCUCAGACCAUCGCAACCUGAAAGAAACACUGCACCAGGUUCUGUAAUUCCUGCUAAUUAGUUCUUAAAAAGCACCAGUUAGAGAUGUACUCGAGGACGAGGAUACAGUGCUUUCCUUGAGACGGACCCAAGCAUCAGUAAUUUAAUGACCUAACAGUGGGAAUUCAGAGCCUACAUCCAACCUGAAAAUGCCACUCUUAUAGACCAGAUAAUUAAUAAAACAAAUAAACUGCAAAGAAGUCAGAAAGCUGACACGAACCUUUGGCACCACUUUCAGAGUUUCUCUAUCAGCAGCUAUUAAAACUUCCCCACGUAAAACCAAGGCCAGGGAGGGAGGAAGCUACAAACCUCACAUUUUUAAUUAGGGCAAAUAUAUCUACACUGUUUUGCUGCAAACUAUUGCUGCCUAAAAGCAUUCCCAACUGAUUUUACUGAUCAUCAGAACACUGAAUGCAGGAGGAAAUUUCUGAAACUGCAGAGUGCAACAUGUACGUGCUUUCAGUGGCCUUGCCUGCAACAAGAAGGUUUUGAUUUUUUUCUUUUUUUUUCUGUGGUCCCAACUCAACAUCAUUACACAUGCAAAAUAAUAUAGCAGCCUGCUUCCUAGAAGUGUCCAGUGCAUGUGUGAGAUUAGCUCUUAUGAAAUCUCAAAGCUUAUCUUGAGAAAAUACUGUUAGAUCCAACAACAGACUGAAUUACAGACCAGUAGCUGUAUUGCAAACUAAGCUCACGGACGUCGCCUCCUUCUUGACUCAGGCUCACAGAAUUCUAUUGACUCAAGUCAAUGAUGCAUUGAUACAGGUUAUGGAAGAACAAAUUCCAUAGAAUAGAGAAAUUAAAAGCAUCUUUACUUUAAUUUCUAGUGAGUGACUUUGUAUUAUCCCGUUCUGCUUAGAUAAAAGUGGUGGAAACCUGCAAAGCCAGGACACAUGGCAUUAUCUGUAUCAGAUAAAAGGUGGAUGUGCAGUAGGACAGGUUUAAUAGCUCACUUCUCCCAAACAGUUUGCUUCCUCUUUCCUGUCUGUGGCAUCUAGUCACACUAAUCCCUCAUCUUCACCCUCUCCUGUUCCAACCCUGACAGGUUCCAGCUGCUUUAACUUAUUGAACAGUUUUAGCUGUUUCUAGUUUUCUGCUGUUUAUUUUGAGUUAGUGCAGCUCAGAGAAGAGUUUGAUCACUGUUCCUAGACGAAGAUAAGCAGUUGAAGAAAGACCUCAUUUCAGCACAAGCACUGUGAAUUUGGCUUAUCUCGUCUUACAGAACUGUAUGCUAAGAUGUGCUUUUCACCAGGCUACAGCUAAGUAGGGAUGACUUCUGCCGAUACCGAUGCCAUCUCCGCACGUCUCCUCCCAGCGCUACACCCGCUCCCGCCUCAGGAAGGCAGGAGGGAACACAUCUUAUUCUGCCAUCAUGGUCUAUGUGAAGGAUAACUCAGGGUGCAGCAAUUUCCUGCUGUACUCUUCCAUUUGUGCCUCUUUGCUCUGAAUAUAUGUCUUUAAUUAUAGGCCACAGAAGUAACUUAUUUGUUUAACCGUGGCCAGGAAACAUACCCAGGGGAGAUCUCUGAACAUGACCACACAGCUGAUAAAGAUUAAUGUUAGGUGAUAGAACACUGGAAGAGGCUAUUCUCACGUUUGGGUCAAUAUGUGCUAUUCAUAGCAUGAGCAUUAAGUAAAGGAAUAUCAGCUUAAUUUGUGCUAUUAUAUUUAAUGAAGUUCAGCAUUUACUUUUCCUCUAAAGACUUCCAAGGACUGCAUUAACAUCACUGUGUGCUCUGGCAGGCAGGAGAGCAGUGUGGUGAGUUUAGCACGACAGUCACAUCAGAGCUUUCUAAGGGCAUUAUGUCACCUCUAUGUUUUAUUAUUAGGCAAAGCUAAUGGUAUUUGAGUUAGUCCCCAUGGCUAACACAGAAUUCAUUAUAAGUUGGUAUAAAUCUCUUUCCUGCUAGAAGUGUUGAUAUCAGCUGUGGAAUCUAAUAGAGACAUCAGUAGUAAUUUAUAAAAGAAAAGAAGCUCCAAGGCUAUUGUUGGUAUUGUUGUGGUUUAUCCAACAGCUCCAGAUCCCUGCUGUGCUGUGUCAGAAAUAACAAAGCAGCUCCUUUGCUGACAUCUGCACUUCCAUUCUCACCUCCAUUAAUUCCCUGCAUUGAUUAAAAAGUAAUAAUAAUAAUAAUAAUCCCAGAAAUAUUUAGGAAGUGCAGAAACCCAGCUGCAUCCUGCACCUGACGGGCUAAUGUGUGUGUAAUAAGCCCAAGCCAGGAAGCUCCUCAUCUCCCUGAGCAGCUGCCUCCACAAGGCUGCUUCCAAAUCCCUGCAGCCUGGCAGGAUUUCUUCCUUUAUCCCUUGGCUGUUCAUCACCUCUCCCCUGCUCGCCAACCACUUCAGCCCACCUGGCACCCAUUCUGUGGGAUCUCCAGGGCCAGGACUGCCUCCUGCUUCCCCUGCAAGGCCUUGCUGCAAUGUUAAUCCAGAGGCUGAACUUCCCCAGUACCAACAACCAUGAAAAAGAAACCAACCCAUAUACAGCAAUAACUUCUGUGUAGAAACAGGAGCUUAUUGGGAAAAUCUGGUUUUCUGUUUUGGUAUGUUGAAUCACACUGUGGCUCUGGGGGAGCUGAAACCACUCCAGGAGUUCUAGAGGCUAUACUAAAAAGAGCCUGAUUUAUUGUGCUGAGGAGCAAAACCAUCCCUGGCUGUGGGUAAUAAACAACCAUCUAUGGAGGCAAAGAAAGCAGCGAUGUUUAAGAAUAUAAAACUGAAUGUAUUUCUUAGUGACACAAUUAUUCAAGGGAGCCAAGCCAGGGAGUGCUUCACAUAGUGUAGUACAGCACUGCCAAGCUCUAGACCAGCACCUUGCUGGACCAGCAUCUGCACCAGCAUAGGGCAGUGAGAAACACCCUGCCCGAGGGAAUUAACAGCCCCACUGAAUACCAACAGAAGACCUAUAGAUACCAGAAGAUAAAGAGAGACCUGCACUGAAUCCCUGUGGAUGAGCAACGUCUGUGUGCUCCAGAGUAGGACCAGCAUCCUGCAGAAAUAGUUUCCCCAUCUUGGGGAAAUUUUCAAUAUUUUAUACUUUUCUGCCCCUUAUCAGCCAAAAAUUCAAACUAAGGAGAAAUGAAAAUCUCAGAUAUUAGGUUUUGAACAGAAGUUCCUAAAUUACUCUGCGUAACAGGCAGAAGGAGAUAAGACUUAAGGCCUUGUUUAGAUCUUUGUUCUAAAUUUAGAGCUUUUACUGGCUGUAAAUGAAAUCCUUAUAGUUGCGUAUACACAAUAUUUUUCCUUCUCUUGGUUUAAUUUUGGGAUUGGUAAAUAUGUAUUACGAAGUAAUUGAAAUGUUGUAGUCCUAGAUUAAACUCCUCUAGUGGAAUGAAACUGAAGGUUUCUGCUCCUGCUUUAGAAGAAUCCAGUGUGAAUGUUUCAUAGUAGCAGCAAAGCCAGAAUUACAGGUUACGCUCCCAAUUUGUGUGCAUGACUAACACCGGGAAA